GUCGAGACAGAUACAGCAUUAAGUGUAGCAACAGAAAUGGUUGCAGAGCUUGAUAUUACAGAUCAAGACGUGACCAGAAUUGCUGAUAUGAUUGACGGAGAAAUUGCUUCCUUGGUGCCUGAAUGGAGGCCAGGUCCGGGAAUUGAGGAAACGCCCCGCUUUGCAAAUCAAAGCUAUUGUCAUAAUUGUUCUACUACUACUUACAGCAAUGCAUCAAAUGGUCUCUUGUUAAGAAAUCCCGAGGGAAAGAACUCAGAGGUAGCUCAAUGCUGUGGACAUCGGUAUGCUUCGAUGCAUGGGCGUU
rnacentral:misc_RNA from 1 species